ACGGGUGAGUAACGCGUGGGAAUCUACCCAUCUCUACGGAACAACUCCGGGAAACUGGAGCUAAUACCGUAUACGUCCUUUUGGAGAAAGAUUUAUCGGAGAUGGAUGAGCCCGCGUUGGAUUAGCUAGUUGGUGGGGUAAUGGCCUACCAAGGCGACGAUCCAUAGCUGGUCUGAGAGGAUGAUCAGCCACACUGGGACUGAGACACGGCCCAGACUCCUACGGGAGGCAGCAGUGGGGAAUAUUGGACAAUGGGCGCAAGCCUGAUCCAGCCAUGCCGCGUGAGUGAUGAAGGCCCUAGGGUUGUAAAGCUCUUUCAACGGUGAAGAUAAUGACGGUAACCGUAGAAGAAGCCCCGGCUAACUUCGUGCCAGCAGCCGCGGUAAUACGAAGGGGGCUAGCGUUGUUCGGAAUUACUGGGCGUAAAGCGCACGUAGGCGGAUACUUAAGUCAGGGGUGAAAUCCCGGGGCUCAACCCCGGAACUGCCUUUGAUACUGGGUAUCUCGAGUCCGGAAGAGGUGAGUGGAAUUCCGAGUGUAGAGGUGAAAUUCGUAGA
rnacentral:rRNA from 23 species